rnacentral:misc_RNA from 1 species
GAUGAAGAACGCAGCGAAAUGCGAUAAGUAAUGUGAAUUGCAGAAUUCAGUGAAUCAUCGAAUCUUUGAACGCACAUUGCGCCCGCGAGUAUUCUCGCGGGCAUGCCUGUCCGAGCGUCAUUUCAACCCUCAGGGCCCGCCUGCUUGCAGGCGCGGCGCUGGUGUUGGGGAUCGGCUACCCUGCCGUCCCCCAAAUACAGUGGCGGUCUCGCUGCAGCCUCCCCUGCGUAGUAGCAACACUCGCAUGCGGAGCGCGGCGCGGCCACGCCGUAAAACCCCCGACUUUCUGAACGUUGACCUCGGAUCAGGUAGGAAUACCCGCUGAACUUAAGCAUAUCAAUAAGAGGAGGA